CAGUAGCCGCGGUAAUACAGAGGGUGCGAGCGUUAAUCGGAUUUACUGGGCGUAAAGCGUGCGUAGGCGGCUUUUUAAGUCGGAUGUGAAAUCACUGAGCUUAACUUAGGAAUUGCAUUCGAUACUGGGAAGCUAGAGUAUGGGAGAGGAUGGUAGAAUUCCAGGUGUAGCGGUGAAAUGCGUAGAGAUCUGGAGGAAUACCGAUGGCGAAGGCAGCCAUCUGGCCUAAUACUGACGCUGAGGUACGAAAGCAUGGGGAGCAAACAGGAUUAGAUACCCGUGUAGUCCCUGUCUCUUAUAC
rnacentral:rRNA from 1 species